rnacentral:rRNA from 1 species
ACGUUAGCGGCGGACGGGUGAGUAACACGUGGGUAACCUACCUAUAAGACUGGGAUAACUUCGGGAAACCGGAGCUAAUACCGGAUAAUAUUUCGAACCGCAUGGUUCGAUAGUGAAAGAUGGUUUUGCUAUCACUUAUAGAUGGACCCGCGCCGUAUUAGCUAGUUGGUAAGGUAACGGCUUACCAAGGCGACGAUACGUAGCCUACCUGAGAGGGUGAUCGGCCACACUGGAACUGAGACACGGUCCAGACUCCUACGGGAGGCAGCAGCC